rnacentral:rRNA from 1 species
GAUGAACGCUGGCGGCGUGCUUAACACAUGCAAGUCGAACGGUGAAGCCCAGCUUGCUGGGUGGAUCAGUGGCGAACGGGUGAGUAACACGUGAGCAACCUGCCCUGGACUCUGGGAUAAGCGCUGGAAACGGCGUCUAAUACUGGAUAUGAGACGUGGCCGCAUGGUCAACGUUUGGAAAGAUUUUUCGGUCUGGAAUGGGCUCGCGGCCUAUCAGCUUGUUGGUGGGGUAAUGGCUCACCAAGGCGUCGACGGGUAGCCGGCCUGAGAGGGUGACCGGCCACACUGGGACUGAGACACGGCCCAGACUCCUACGGGAGGCAGCAGUGGGGAAUAUUGCACAAUGGGCGGAAGCCUGAUGCAGCAACGCCGCGUGAGGGAUGACGGCCCUCGGGUUGUAAACCUCUUUUAGCAAGGAAGAAGCUUUUGUGACGGUACUUGCAGAAAAAGCGCCGGCUAACUACGUGCCAGCAGCCGCCGUAA